rnacentral:rRNA from 1 species
GUGGGGAAUAUUGGACAAUGGGCGAAAGCCUGAUCCAGCCAUGCCGCGUGUGUGAAGAAGGUCUUCGGAUUGUAAAGCACUUUAAGUUGGGAGGAAGGGCAGUAAGUUAAUACCUUGCUGUUUUGACGUUACCGACAGAAUAAGCACCGGCUAACUUCGUGCCAGCAGCCGCGGUAACACGAAGGGUGCAAGCGUUAAUCGGAAUUACUGGGCGUAAAGCGCGCGUAGGUGGUUUUGUAAGUUGGAGGUGAAAUCCCCGGGCUCAACCUGGGAACUGCCUCCAAAACUGCAUGACUAGAGUACGGUAGAGGGUAGUGGAAUUUCCUGUGUAGCGGUGAAAUGCGUAGAUAUAGGAAGGAACACCAGUGGCGAAGGCGACUACCUGGACUGAUACUGACACUGAGGUGCGAAAGCGUGGGGAGCAAACAGGAUUAGAAACCCUGGUAGUCC